UUCAAAAAAACUAUUCUUUGUAUAUAUAUAUAUAUAUUCUUGGACUAUUUUUUGGUAGAAUAAGAUUGGAGAUUCACUGAAAUUACAAAACUAAUAAUGCAUCACCAUUCACCUCUGACUUCAACUGCUAAUAACUCCGUAGAAUGAUAAAUUAAGAUACACAACAAAAAGCAUGGAUUCAGAACAUGAAAACUUAUAAUGUUAUGUAUGCCACUGAUGUAAAAAUGAAUGGUGUCAGACAACAUAGCCAGUUGUUACCCAAAUGAAGAGACAAGAUACGUACACAAUUUUUCCUUUCCUCAAAAAUGGUAUAUUUCCACUCAGAAAAUUGCCA
rnacentral:misc_RNA from 1 species